CUGUAAAGGGUUAAGAAGCUCAGGUAACCUGGCUGACACCUGACCCAAAGGACCAAUAAGGGGACAAGAUACUUUCAAAUCUUGGUGGGGGGAAGGCUUUUGUUUGUGCUCUUUGUUUUGGUGGUUGUUCGCUCUUGGGACUAAGAGGGACCAGACAUCGAUCCAGGCUCUCCAAAUCUUUCUGAACAAGUCUCUCAUAUUUCAAACUUUAUGCAGACUUCCCUGGUAACAGUUGCUAAGAAGAAAUAAAAGAGUCAGACACACAGGUUGCUGCCAUGCAGGAUGAAGGUCUGGGAACAUUUGGUGUGCUUCAGCAGAGCUUCUGUCGCAGCAUGAGGUAACAACCAACCAGAGCGAGAGAAAUGACUGCAGGUAGGAGGACAAUGUUGACUGACAAAAUCCAAGAAACCAGGCAAGGAGGGGAGCAUCCUUUAAGAAGGGAACAGGGAGCAGAGACCCAGAUUCCAGACCGAUGAGCUCCCUGCAGAAAGGAGAAUGUGGUGCAUUCAUGCACAAGUGGAGUGACACCUGUGUGGGGAAUACACAUCGGACUUUUGCUUAUCCCAUCGGGAAGUUCUGGCAUAGUAGGCUUCAUACCUAGGGCUUGUAUGCAGUGUGGAAAUUGGCUGCUUGUUGAAAUUAGGCACCAAAUUUGGGUUUACUAAAAUCUAACACCAAUAGAAAUAAAAAAAAAAGGCUUUAUACUGUGGUAGCAGUCAGCAUUGAGCU